CGUCUGCCUUUUAACCCUCCCCAGGAGGUCGUGCCUCUGAGCCCCAAAGCUGAAGGCCCCUCUUGGGGGUGGGUGCGGGCCGGAGGGGCCCGAUCCUUUCAGAGCCGGGCCGAGGUGAAGGAAAAGAAGGAAGUCCUUUGAGAUACAUUAUCUCACUGAAGCCUCAGCAACUCCGCGGUGUUCCCAGAGGUGAGGAAACACACUGAGAGACAGAACACGACUUGACCAGGGCCACCCUGUGGGGCACGCUGGCACCUGCACAGCCCAGCUUCACCUGGUUCCAGCCCUGCCCGCGCUCUGCUCCCCACUUCCCGUAACCCUGGGCUGGCGUCAGCAGGCAGGCCUGCCAGGAGGCUGGAGCUGCCAACGACCUAUUUUUCUGGGCAAGAAGAGCCAUUUGGAGUUAGAGGUCUCAGCUGUGAAGCCAGAACAAUAAAAAUAAAAACAGCACGGACUCCUGGGCAGCCUGGACCAGGGAACCAACUGCCCCAAGAGUUGCUGCUCACCAGGCUGGAAGGCAAGUGGGGUUGGGGGGAUGGGAGAUGGGAGUGACCUUACCGAGCCCCUGCUAUGUCCUCCGGCCCUUACAGAGUAAGGGUAAUCUCCAAGGUUCACAACAGGCCCUUUGUCUGGGUGGCCAGACCAGUCAGGAUUUGAACUCAGUUUUCCAAACAGUAACAAUUCCCAUCUGUUCAGCAGCUACUAUGCUUUACAGACUUGUGACAUUCAUACCACACCUGGGGGGGUGAGCUAAUCAUUCCCUCAUUCUACAGAUGAGGCAGCUGAGACUUCAGGAGGCCUCUGCUCACACGCCACCUCCUUGAGAGGCCUUGCCAGACCACCCUGUUAAAGUAGUCACCCUCACGCCUGCCCAAUAUGCCCUACCCUCUUCCCUAUUUUAUCUUCAUAGCAUGCAUCACGACCUGCUAAUAUUGUGUGUCUCCACUGCAUUUUGUCUGUCUCCCUAACUAGCUCCAGGUCAGUUUAUCCUAGUGGCUUGCACUCCAGCGGUCUCUCAGACUAGCCCCGUGGGGCAAGUUAUUUUGAUGAUCUGUGCUUCCUUCGGGGUAAUGAUAGGACCUUACCUGAAAGGUUUCUUGUGAGGGUUAAAUGAGUUAAUAUCGGUUAAGUGUUGGCCGCUGCCAUUGUUUUGUCCCAGAGCUGUAGCUCCAGGGUCUUUAACAGUAAACAAUAGGUUGUCAAUAAAUAUGUAUUAAAUUUAAAAA